AUUUCAUUCACACUAUUUUCUGUACGUGACCCAAAUAGUCUACCAUGUCAUGCAAUGUGCUUUCACCAAAGGUUGAUCGAUUGUGUUCCAGCUGUGUUCUUCCCCCGUGUUUUCACUGACUUCAAUGUGGAGUCGUUACAUCAGAAUCAGAUCGGUAUUGGGUGACUGAAAGCCCUGACCGCAUUAGACUUGUUUCACUCAGCUGCUCAAGCCAGGAGAAGAAACAUCUGCUUGUGAAAGGAUGCACUUUUAAAUACAUGUCUUUAGAAGAUCAUUCAUUCUUCAGAUUACUGGAACUUUAAAAACAAAUUUUAAACAGACCUAAAAAGCUGCAAGGAUUACAUGCCCAAAUAAGAGCUAAAAAAUAAUUUUCAGAAAUUGCAAGGGAGGCAUCAACAGAGUAACGCAGCUAAUACUGAUAGUGUGGCAAGUGUAAGAGAUGGAAAGGUACUUUGCACCAGUGCGUGGCUCCUCAGAGGAUGAGGUGAAAAUGUACAAACAUUACCAUCCCAUACCUCAACAGCAUCCUCACAACCAUCAUUACCAGCAUGACCAGUAUCACCACCAUGGAUCACACAGUCACAGCUCUUCAAGCAGUCACGGAAAACACAGUGAUAAACAUACUCCCCGUCACCACGACAACCAGCAUCACUUUUAUCAUCCCGCAAACCCUAAAAUGUCUGUAGAUCAUCACAGCUUCUCUAAAAGGUCUUCCUCCAGCCUGUCCUCCUCCUCCUCUUCCACUUCUUCUUCUGCAUCUUGGACCUCAGAGCCCAGCUUGGAUGAUGAGACGUAUCUCAUGCACAAACCCCAGCAUUCCCUGUCCUGCUCCAACAUCCCUGAAGUUCGAAGGAAAAACCACAGAGAUCACAGAGAUCAGAGGCACCGCCACAGCCUAGAAAACGUAGACGAACUGCUGCCUGGUUCUCAGGAUGGACAUCAGAUGCCAAAACUCUCCCGGGGCCAUAGCAAAAGCGAGGAGGGCCUUCAACAAAACCAGCACAAACAUGAUAACACCGAAGGAUCUCACUUCAUGGAUCAUGGGCCACUUUACAAGACUGCAAGCCUGGGACAAAGCCUUGCCUUUGGUGGCAAUAAUGACAACACUCUAAGUGGCAAGGGGGUUCCCAAGAAGGCUGUUUCAUCUAUUCAGCUACCCAACAAAGGUAUUCUGAAAAACAAAUAUGAGGGACAGAAAGAAAGAAACUUCAGGAAAGCCAAGUCUAUGGAGGUGCUCUCCACCAGUGUGCACAUCACAGAAACAUCCAAGCAGAUCUCUGUGGAAGCUGCGGGGAAUAACUUUGUGAAAGGGAAGCUACAGUUCUCUGCAUUUCUGGACGAGAUCACCAAGCAGGUUAUCAGUCCCUGUGCUCUUAGCUCUUUUGGUGUAAACACAUCAACGCCACCAAAAUCACCCAAUGAAGAGCGCAAGAACCGCAGCGGCAAGCAGGAGAGCUUUGUGCCAUCACCAAAACAGCAGCCCAUCAGAACUGAGAGACCUGAUUCAGAAAAAAAUGAUUCAAGCUCACUUUCUCGAUCACAUAAGAGACCGAGCAAAUACCACAGCCGAAACCUGACCAGCCCUCCACACCCACCCCACCACCCUUCUAAAGCUGAAAGACAAGGGGCUGCUUCUGGUAAACAGCACCACAGGCAAUAUUCUCAGAUGCUCACUGAUGGCACCAGCACCAGCCCAGAAACUAUCCACACCAACCUCUCCAAACACAAAGGGCGACAUCAAAGUAGUCAUGGCCCUUCCAGACACUUUCACAUUAAACAGGAGAAGGGGUCACCGCCACCUUUGCGAGCCGCAGGGCUGGAGUCAGAGUCUCAGUCGAGUAAAUCAUCCACCAGUGCUAGUUCAGAGAAAAGUGACAGACCCAAACACAUGGGACACAGGAGGCAGUCCAAACCACACAGGGAUUCAUCCGGUUCCGUGGACCGAGUUCAGUAAGUGUUUCCCCCCUUUUUCUGAUUGGUUAUUUCAGACUAUUGAUUUUGUCUUAUUCCAGAGCUUUUCUCCAUUUUCCUCUGCUCGGUUUCCUAAACUCUGCCAUCCAGCCUGAGCUCCAUCGAUUGCCUCUGUUCAUCUGUCCAGUACACAGUCAGAGCAGAGUCAUCAUAUUUUUCUUUGCGAAUGAUUUAUGAUACUGAGCUUCUACAGAAACACAGCAGUUUACCUCCUGACAAAGACAGAUAAACACACUGGUCUGUAAUAUAUUGCAGGAUGCUGGAGGAGAACAACAAAGAGCUGCAUGAGAACCUGUUGCAGACGGUGGCAUGCAUUGAGAACAUGGAGGCAGAACUGCAGUGUACCAAGACAGAGUUAGUCAGCUUCAAAGAGAAAUACAGAAGGUCAGAAACUCCACACAUAAUGUUUUUAGUUCAUGGAAUGACAGCUCACCCAUCUCUCAUUCUCUGUUGUAUAUCAUUUUCAGGCUUCAGGAAAGCUAUUCGGUUUCUCAGCAGGCAAAUAGUGUCUUGGAGCAGAAACUCGAAUCUGCGGUGAGAUUAACACAACUGUGUUAACACUUUCCACAAAAGACAAAGAAACUCUGUGUCAUGAAUUGCUUUCUUACAUUUGUUUUCUCACACAAAGCACAUACCUGUGAAAUAUGAUUGUACUCUUGUCAGGCCUUAUUAAAGCACCUGCUUGCCCUUGAGCUGGUCUCUUUCUAAAAAGCAAACUCACAUCAGCUGAAAUUUCUGUAGUGCUAUCUACCGUUACUGAUAUUACAUUUAAGCAGUAUUUUUUUAACCUUAUUCUGACAGGUAGACAGCUUGGACUCAGAGAGGAAGUUCCUCAUGCAGAGAGUUGCAGAUGUGACUAAACAGCUGGAAAUUGCUCAGAAGACCAUCAACUCCCUGGAAAACGUCAAUGUCAGUGCACCCGCAGACAAGAGACAGCAAACAGAUGCUCCAUGUCUUCGUUUUUUUUGCACAAACUAGUCAAUUCCCCACUAAAUAAAUAUAAAUAUAUAGUAUGCAGUAUGCACGUCUAUAAUGUUAUAAAUGACCCAUAGGUAUUUUAUUGUAGUAUAGUAGAUCUUUUACAAGUGCGGCUUGUUUUUAAGAGGGCUCUCCUGCUUUUGACAUCACAGCUCGGGAUAGUCUCAGCCAAUCAGCAUUGCUACAACAUAAUUUUUGCCCUGAAUGAAGAGGGGGCAAUAUAUAAACGUAUAAAAAUAAAAUACAACAAUACUUUCGUUAUAGCCAGCCAGUAUGCUUAUUUAUAGUUGUGUCUGCUUAAUGAAUUGUUUCAACAUAAAAAAAAACAAUUCACCUGUUGAAAAAAAAUAAAUGUUAAAGGUUAACAUCUUUCUCUAUUUAGGUUCCCUCAUUCAUUAGAGAGUUGUUGAAAAAUCACUUUGACUCUCGGGAAGCACUGGAGGACUUCUUAUGCCCUCAAACAUCUUCACGCCAACCUGAAAGCGACCAAUCAGAAAGGGCGCAGGAGGUCAGAAACAACCAACCAUCUGCUGGAAAAGAGGAAGUAUUUAAAUGGCCACAGACUGGACACACAUGCUCAGGUGCCAGACAACAGCCUGCCACAGCCUUUCUGCCUUGGAAACAUGAUCAUGAUCCAUGGGCAGGGCCAGGGCAACUCAUGGCUAAAGGAAGUGACUCACAACUUCCUUUUUCUUUUGAUGAAGAUGUGCCAAUCCACAAAACAAUGGCAGAUACAAAGCCCCCAAGUCAUCAAGUGCAUCAAUUAGCCAUGAACCCAGAGAUCCACGUAAUUCCCCCAAACCCAUAUAAUUUAGAUGAGAUGAGGCUCAGCAGAAAGACAGGUGGAGAGAGAAGCAUCACUGUGGGGAAAGAGCCCACUGAUGUCAGCUAUCUUACAGCUCAAAGGAUGCUGAAUGAGUUUUUGAACCAGAUUCCUCCUCCGGCACAUGAUGGUGAAGGGAAAGAUAGCGUAGAAGCAGAACUUUAACAGAAGGAAGGUAGUAACAUUUAAUUUGACAUCUUUUUAGUAAACUGUAUUAGGAACUGGAUAAAAACUUCAAUAACAUCCCCCAUUACCAAUAUUGCAGCAAGGAUGCAAAUAACUGUGGCUCUGAUGGCUCUUUAUUGGUAGUUGAGAAAUGCACUUGAUUUCUAGCUUUACAAGUAUAAUUGCUAAAUGCAUAUAAGUAUGUAUAUACCAUCUGGUAUUCUGGUUUCCUGCUUUCAAUUGUUGUUCAGUGCAUUUGCAAAAGGCAUUGUCCAUAUUUGUGUUUUGUGCACUUUUUGCCCUCAAUACUGUGAAAUAUUUAAAGUUAGCACUUAAAUGAUGUAAUUCGAUAUUCAUAUUAUUUUAUUACAAAACCAAAAUUACGGUCAAUUUGUUUUGGAAAAGUAUGGCCCUCUCAUUCUUCUGUCUUUGAGUGCUCAAUGUCUGUCUGUAUAAAAUAAAACAAAUUGAACUGCAGAGUGAAUAGCACUUCUAUGAAAUGUUUAAAUGAACCGAGACAAUGUCCAUGUGGUUAUUUAUUGUAUAAAUUAACAUCUAGGGAAGUUUGAAUUGUUGUUUUUGUGAAAUCUAUAUGUGUAACUAUAUGUAUAUGUAUAGAAUAUAAGUAAUAGUUUCUGCUAGAAAUCAAAUAAGCCAUAUAACCAUAUAUAUUUAAUAUAGAAUAGCCUUGUAUUUUUAUUCUAAAUGUAUUAAUAAAAUCUUGUGUGCAAGUUUGCUCUACAUUUGGGAAUGGUUCCUACCUUUCUUAGUCUGCGUGUCUUUUUAUCCAUAUAAAACACAGUCCAAUUAUCAAACAAUUGCUUCAGCUGAUUUCAAGUCCAAAUUAAACAAACAUCACAUUCUCAGUAUAUCAUAGGACAAU
rnacentral:lncRNA from 1 species